rnacentral:rRNA from 1 species
GAUAAACGCUGGCGGCGCGCCUAACACAUGCAAGUCGAACGAUUAAAGCACCUUCGGGUGUGUAUAAAGUGGCGAACGGCUGAGUAACACGUGGGCAACCUGCCCCUUUCAUUGGGAUAGCCACGGGAAACCGUGGAUAAUACCGAAUACUUCGAGACUUCCGCAUGGAAGACUCGAGAAAGCUCCGGCGGAGAGGGAUGGGCCCGCGGCCUGUUAGCUUGUUGGUGGGGUAACGGCCUACCAAGGCAAUGAUGGGUAGCUGGGUUGAGAGACCGACCAGCCAGAUUGGGACUGAGACACGGCCCAGACUCCUACGGGGGGCAGCAGUGGGGAAUCUUGCACAAUGGGCGAAAGCCUGAUGCAGCGACGCCGCGUGCGGGAUGAAGGCCUUCGGGUUGUAAACCGCUUUCAGCAGGGACGAGGCGAAAGUGACGGUACCUGCAGAAGAAGCCCCGGCUAACUACGUG